UAAUGAAUGAUUGCUUUAUUUCAUAUCACAAACUUUUUCUUAUUUUGAAUUAGCCUAAAUAAUUAUUUAUUUAGGACUCGGUGAUCAUAUCGAAAUUAAAAUCGCAUAAACAAACUGAAUAGGUUUUAAUGAUGUGCUAUGGAGUACAAAAAUAUGCAAAGUCGUCUGGGUCAAGUAUAUCUUUUAUUCAAUCUUUUUCAGGCUGAAGUAAUUUAAUAUUCAUGGAUGUUAAUUUAAAGUCUUUUAGUAUUGUGCGAGGUGUAUAUGGGCUUUUUUAUGAAUAGCCCUUUGCCUUUCCCCCUCUUUCUCCAGGGUUGAUGGACUGAGACAAAAUGGGCAGUUUCCCCCCUUUCCAACAGGGAGGACAUCUUUAUUCCUUCCCCGGCUUGCGGGUUUCCUAUUCAGCUCUCUUCAAAAUAAUGCGGGCUGAAUGAAAAGUGCUGCAAAUCAAUCUUUCAUGGUGUUUUUGAGGGCAAUUUGACAUCCAUGCACUCUUCUUUUCUUUAGGAUAAGUACAAGGGGAUGGCCCGAAAAAAUCUGGACAAGGAUGGGGUCUGGCGAGAACUUCCAAAGAGAGAUGCGAGGAGAGCGCAGAGGAGAAUAUAGGCAUGCUGGAAUCUAGCGGGCAGUGGGCAGACCAUCGGACCAGAACCUGGAUACCCGAGUGUCGGAGAUUGAAUGACAGAAGAUGGAGGCAAGCGGGAAGCGCGAGAGAAAGGUGAAUCUCACCUUUCCCUCCCUCUCGGUGCUCUCCGACAGCUGGGCCGGAGCCUGAGGACAGGACUUAUCAAUGGAGACUUUCACUGGGUCCAUCUGUCCCCUUCUGUUCUGUAAGUCUCACCCACAAACACUGCCUGAGGAGAACCGAGCACCUAAGGCACACGCUUAUACUGAAGAACAACUUCAAGCAAACAACGACUGCUCUUUUUACUCAUAAUUAUGUUAAUAAAAACAAAUAUAAGACAU